GAGAGAGUCACAGAAGAACCCUUAGAUUGCUAGUCUGGGAGGCCCCGCAGUUAGAAUCCGCGGCUCACUCA
rnacentral:tRNA from 1 species